GAUGAACGCUGGCGGCGUGCUUAACACAUGCAAGUCGAACGGUGAAGCAGGAGCUUGCUCUUGUGGAUCAGUGGCGAACGGGUGAGUAACACGUGAGCAACCUGCCCCUGACUCUGGGAUAAGCGCUGGAAACGGCGUCUAAUACUGGAUAUGUGAUGUGACCGCAUGGUCUGCAUCUGGAAAGAAUUUCGGUUGGGGAUGGGCUCGCGGCCUAUCAGCUUGUUGGUGAGGUAAUGGCUCACCAAGGCGUCGACGGGUAGCCGGCCUGAGAGGGUGACCGGCCACACUGGGACUGAGACACGGCCCAGACUCCUACGGGAGGCAGCAGUGGGGAAUAUUGCACAAUGGGCGGAAGCCUGAUGCAGCAACGCCGCGUGAGGGAUGUCGGCCUUCGGGUUGUAAACCUCCUUUAGCAGGGAAGAAGCGAAAGUGACGGUACCUGCAGAAAAAGCACCGGCUAACUACGUGCCAGCAGCCGCAGUAU
rnacentral:rRNA from 1 species